GAACGCUGGCGGCGUGCCUAACACAUGCAAGUCGUACGAGAAAUCCCGAGCUUGCUUGGGAGAGUAAAGUGGCGCACGGGUGAGUAACGCGUGGGUAACCCACCUUCGAAUCUGGGAUAACUCCGCGAAAGCGGUGCUAAUACCGGAUAAGACCACAGCCGUUUCGGCGGCAGAGGUAAAAGCUGACCUCUCCAUGGAAGUUAGCGUUCGAGGACGGGCCCGCGUCCUAUCAGCUUGUUGGUGGGGUAAAGGCCUACCAAGGCAGCGACGGGUAGCUGGUCUGAGAGGAUGAUCAGCCACACUGGAACUGGAACACGGUCCAGACUCCUACGGGAGGCAGCAGUGAGGAAUUUUGCGCAAUGGGGGAAACCCUGACGCAGCAACGCCGCGUGGGUGAAGAAGGCUUUCGGGUCGUAAAGCCCUGUCAGGUGGGAAGAACCGUUUCGAUACUAAUAAUGUCGAAGCCUGACGGUACCACCAGAGGAAGCACCGGCCAACUCCGUGCCAGCAGCCGCGGUAAUACGGAGGGUGCAAGCGUUGUUCGGAAUUAUUGGGCGUAAAGAGCGUGUAGGCGGUUUGGUAAGUCAGAUGUGAAAGCCCUGGGCUCAACCCAGGAAGUGCAUUUGAAACUACCAGACUUGAGUACGGGAGAGGAGGGGGGAAUUCCCGGUGUAGAGGUGAAAUUCGUAGAUAUCGGGAGGAAUACCAGUGGCGAAGGCGCCCCUCUGGACCGAUACUGACGCUGAGACGCGAAAGCGUGGGGAGCA
rnacentral:rRNA from 1 species